rnacentral:snoRNA from 1 species
GGUUUCUCUCCUAUGGGCCUGUGGAGAGUUCCUUUUUUCCUCAGCCAAGGCUGGAUGCCAAGAUCAGCCUUCAGAGAUCAUUGUCAGGACUGCUACAAGCUGGGCAGCCUUGUUUUACUACCUCAGACAGUU